rnacentral:rRNA from 1 species
UGCAAGUCGCGGGGCAGCACGGGUAGCAAGUACCUGGUGGCGACCGGCGCACGGGUGCGUAACGCCGUAUGCAACCUGCCCCCAUCAGGGGAAUAGCCCGCCGAAAGGCGGAUUAAUGCCCCAUAGGCCCAGGGCGCCGCACUGGCGCUAAUGGGUAAAGCUCCGGCGGAUGGGGAUGGGCAUGCGUGCCAUUAGCUAGUGGGGCGGUAACGGCGCACCAAGGCGACGAUGGCUAGGGGGUCUGAGAGGAUGGUCCCCCACACUGGUACUGAGACACGGACCAGACUCCUACGGGAGGCAGCAGUGAGGAAUAUUGGUCAAUGGGCGGAAGCCUGAACCAGCCAAUGCCGCGUGCAGGAUGACGGCCCUACGGGUUGUAAACUGCUUUUCCCCGGGAAGAAUAAGCCCCUCGUGAGGGGUGAUGCCGGUACCGGGGGAAUAAGGAUCGGCUAACUCCGUGCCAGCCGCCGC